rnacentral:rRNA from 1 species
AUACGGAGGACGCGAGCGUUAUCCGGAUUCAUUGGGUUUAAAGGGUGCGCAGGCGGCCGUGCAAGUCAGCGGUGAAAGCCCGGGGCUCAACCCCGGAAGUGCCGUUGAUACUGCAUGGCUGGAAUGCGGUCGAGGCGGGCGGAACGUGGGGUGUAGCGGUGGAAUGGGUAGAGAUGCCACAGAACCCCGAUAGCGGGGGCAGCUGGCCAGGCCUGCAUGGACGCUCGGGAACGAAAGGGUGGGGAUCGAACAGGAUUAGAUACCCUGGUAGUCCACGCCGUAAACGAUGGGCGCUCGUCGUCGGCGGCAGACAGUCGGCGGCCAAGCGAAAGCGAUAAGCGCCCCACCUGGGGAGUACGGUCGCAAGGCUGAAACUUAAAGGAAUUGACGGGG